GUUUGCAAUUUCUGGGGAAAAACCAAUUUUUGGUUUACAAAUAGGUACUUUGAUGGUUUUGGGAAAACUGAGGCCUUUUUCGGCUAUUUCUAACAGAGAAGUUUUAUAGAGAUUGUUAUUAAUUCCCAAACAGUACAAGGUAACGGAAAUUAGCCGCGAUAAGAAAUGGAUGUCCGUUAUUCUUUGAUAAAUAAACCAUCACAAUUACAACAAUUCGGCAUCAUAGUAACAGUAUAUAACUGAGACAGAUUUACACGAGUUCAACCCUUCUCCCUAAAACAUUAUUUUCCCACCACUGUAAUUGUGUAAUGCGUGUUGUAUUCGUGAUUUUUUUCUUCAAAAAUUGUACACAAAGGAAAAAAAGUUUAAAAAAGUGUUCUAUAAUGAAUUUAUAUAUUUAUUUGAAAAAGUUAUUCGUUUAUGAAAAUUGAACGUGAUAUAAUAAAUAUUCCUAAAGUACAAUUUAUUGUCAAAUACUCGACAUUUUUUUUUUUUUGAGUGUCGUGUUAGUUUGAAAAAUCAAGAUGUCAUCUGAAGAACCAUUUUGUGGAGCAACAUUACAGAAUGUUCGAGCUUAUUAUUUUUCAAACCUGCAAGGUUUAAUAGACAUACCAAUAUGCAUAAUCGGUGUGAUCUUCAACGUGUUCAACAUUCUGGUGUUCACAAGGAGGAAUAUGACAUCACCUGUGAACCUAAUCUUCACGCAUUUGGCGUUUGCAAAUUUAUCAGAGCUGCUAGCGUUUAUAACCUCCAUAUGGGCAUACUUAGCAUAUCUCAGUGAGCAAAGCACUUACGUAGACUGGACUUAUACACGAGCAGUAUUCUUAACGCGAAGCGGAGAAUUAAACAGCAUUUUUAACCGAAUAUCAGUGUAUACUGUAAUGAUGCUAGUAAUAUGGAAAUAUAUAGCUGUAUUUUAUCCAUCGCAGGAAUCUCAGUGGUGCAAUAUGAAAACUACACGCAAUAUGGUGGUAACUGGUUACAUCGUAUGCAUCUUGCUUUAUAUACCGGAGUAUUCGUCACAUUAUAUUGAGACACACAUCAUGCAUCAGACGAUAACAGUUUACUUGUAUAGUACUGAAACUGAUUCCAUCAUGUACUCUGCGGCACAAUUCAUCAAAAUAGUGUUGCAUGAAUUAUUGCCAUCAAUUGUGCUACUAAUAUUAAGCGCUAGAUUGAUCGCCUCACUAUGGAUGAAAAAAGAACACCCAACAACUCCUGAUACUUCAAACGUUGAAAACCGCACAGAUAAUGUCGAAGUCGAAAUGGACCAACAAACCAAUCGAUCGAUAGUCAUAUCGAUGAUAAUUGUGGCACAAUGUUUAAGUUUCGUUACUCCAAAAGGAUUACUCGACCUAGUAGGACGUAUUUUUGCAGUCGAUUAUAAUUCAAUUCAUUACGAAUGUGUUGUUAGCUUCCAGAUAAUAUUCUAUCUCCUAGAUUGCGUUAAUAAAUCUGUUAAGUUUAUAAUAUAUUACGCCAUGGAUCAAGAUUUUAGAGUAACAUUCAAAUCUUUGUUUAACAAAAACAAUGUUUAUUUUUGGAAACUAAAGUAUGUCCCUUUGAGCAGUACGAGAGGAAAUGAUGAAAUCUUAGAAAUAGAUCGAAUUUAACAAGGGUAGAUAAUAAUUUUAGAAUUGCUACUUUUGUGGUGAAAAAUGAGGGUGAUAACCCAUGGAGAAAUGAUUGGGUACUUGAAUUUCAUGGGUCUACUUUGACUUGACCAGAUCGGAUCAGAUCUCUUCAUCCCUAAUCAGAUCAAAUAAGAGACUUUGAUUGAAUCUGACCAGAUCUGAGUAGAUCUGAUCUUGAUUAGACCGGAUCAGAUCUGAUCAGAUCCUGAUACAAUACUCAGAUCCAAUUAGAUCUGACAAGGUCGGAUUAGACCUGUUCAGAUCUGAUCGGGUCCAAUCAUCUUUGACUUGCAUAUCUAUUUUUAUAUCAACCAUUUGUUGUAUUUUUUAAGUUAUAUUUGUGUAGUUAUUAUCGUUCGUUGUUCAGAACAAAAUUGUAGGGGAGUGUUGUGAUGUCAAUUUUGUAUCUGGUACUUAAUUUUAGCGUUUAUUCAUAGCUGAAACGAUUUUUUUGUGUUUAGUUUGGUGGUAACACUGAUGUUCACAUGUUGUACAUUCGCCGUAGUUGUAAGUUUUUGUUCCUGUCGAUGCAUUCUAGUUGUAAUGGCGUUUAGGUAAUUAUAAUUUGAAAUGGUCCGUGCGUUAUUUCUUCAUCAAAUUAAAAGCAAAUACUACAUCA